UACAGAGGGGGCAAGCGUUGUUCGGAAUUACUGGGCGUAAAGGGCGCGUAGGCGGCCUCGCAAGUCCCGUGUGAAAUCCCUCGGCUCAACUGAGGAAUGGCACGGGAAACUGCGGGGCUUGAGUUCGGGAGAGGGAAGCGGAAUUCCGGGUGUAGCGGUGAAAUGCGUAGAUAUCGAGAGGAACACCUGCGGCGAAGGCGGGUUGCUGGGCCGACACUGACGCUGAUGCGCGAAAGCCAGGGGAGCGAACGGG
rnacentral:rRNA from 1 species